UUCAACGUAGCGCCGCUGAAUUAGUCAACUCCCUAGUGUCUUUACUUCGAAACUGUGUUCGCAAGUCUCUCUCUUUGAUUUUUCGCUGUGUUUGAAUAUUAUCUCCUACACAAAGUAUCAAUUUGUGUGGUAUACGAAUUGCUUCUUUUUUUUUGAUGGCUUCUUCUCCUCUAGCGAUCAUCAACUGUCCACACCAUGUUUUCCUCAGCUUCAGAGGAGAAGACAUCCGCAAAAGAUUCCGUUCCCACUUUCUGAAGGAGCUCAGCCGCAAGCUAAUCACCUUCAAAGACGAUGAGAUGGAAAGAGGCCAAUCUAUUGCGCCUGAGCUUAUCAAGGCGAUACAAGGAUCAAAGAUCUCGGUUGUAGCGUUUUCCAAAAACUUUGCAAAUUCAAGCUGGUGCUUGGAUGAGCUGGUGGAGAUCAUGAAGUGCAGGAAAUACCGAGGCCUGAUUGUGAUACCUAUUUUCUACGAUGUGGAUCCUUCUCACGUCAAAAACACAAUCCCACAGCUUCGGAGAGAUCUUCAACAAGACUUGCCAAACUUGCCAAGGCAGGACCGAAGGAGAGAAACUUCAGUGGCGGACGGCGUUGACGGAAGCAGCAACCAUUGUCGGAGAGGAUUCCCUUAAUUGAAAUUUUGCCAAGGAAGAAGGCGACGCCUGUUUUUCAAUGGAGCCUACAUUGUAUGUGUCGCAGUGUUGGUGUCGUUUGUCGUUCACUAGAAGAACUCCACACUCAAGGCUCGUAACUCCUAAUGAAAGAAGGGAAAGCAACAGAGACAUUUGCAUUCUUGAGGUUCAUUUAACAGGAACAGCCACAUACCGGGAUGUUCAGGAAGUUGCUUGUUUCAUUUUGCUAUGGCACAAGUAGCAUCAUGUAUUUUGAGUUAUAGCGAGAAUAUAUAUAUCAGUACUCAGUAGCAUGGGUUUACAAUUUCGAGCUCAUUCACAAAUGUUUUUAAUGGCUCUUCUUGCUGAAAUUGUUCUCUGCUUUCUGAAACUUGGAUCUUUCUAUACAUGAACAAGCGUUUUUCUUA